GAUGAACGCUGGCGGCGUGCCUAAUACAUGCAAGUCGAGCGAACAGACGAGGAGCUUGCUCCUCUGACGUUAGCGGCGGACGGGUGAGUAACACGUGGAUAACCUACCUAUAAGACUGGGAUAACUUCGGGAAACCGGAGCUAAUACCGGAUAAUAUAUUGAACCGCAUGGUUCAAUAGUGAAAGACGGUUUUGCUGUCACUUAUCGAUGGAUCCGCGCCGCAUUAGCUAGUUGGUAAGGUAACGGCUUACCAAGGCAACGAUGCGUAGCCGACCUGAGAGAGUGAUAGCCCGCACGGGAGCGGGAACGCGGUCCAGACUCCUGCGAGAGGCAGCAGUAGGGAAUCUUCCGCAGUGGGCGAAAGCCUGACGGAGCAGCGCCGCGUGAGUGAUGAAGGUCUUCGGAUCGUAAAACUCUGUUAUGAGGGAAGAACAAAUGUGUAAGUAACUAUGCACGUCUUGACGGUACCUAAUCAGAAAGCCACGGCUAACUACGUG
rnacentral:rRNA from 1 species